rnacentral:rRNA from 1 species
GCAAGUCGAACGGUAACAUGAACUAGCUUGCUAGUUUGAUGACGAGUGGCGGACGGGUGAGUAAUGCUUGGGAAUUUGCCUUUAGGUGGGGGACAACAGUUGGAAACGACUGCUAAUACCGCAUAUUGUCUACGGACUAAAGAGGGCUUCGGCUCUCGCCUUUAGAGAAGCCCAAGUGGGAUUAGAUAGUUGGUGGGGUAAUGGCUCACCAAGUCAGCGAUCCCUAGCUGGUCUGAGAGGAUGAUC